rnacentral:tRNA from 11 species
GCGCCCGUAGCUCAGCUGGAUAGAGCACCAGACUACGAAUCUGGGGGUCGGGAGUUCGAAUCUCUCCGGGCGCGCCA